CGGAAGCGAAGUCAAAAUUUGAAUAACAUCCCUUACACGAAAACCAAAAACGUGCUCACAAAAUAUAAAAGAUUAAACUACCUAAAGGGGAAACUUGAAAGUAAAAACUACGAAUGUGACUAUGGAGUCCUUAGGCGUCCCCUUCGUCGUCCUCCUGCGGAACCGGCUCGGGAACGAUGUCAUCUUGAUCUGAAAUGAUUAAAUAAGGAAUGAGCUACAUUAGCCCAGUAAAGACAUCACGAUAUCUCACCGUCACGGAGGUAAAUGUGGGUAGAAAAACACAAAAGACCAAUGGAGCAUGAUUUACGACAAAUCCUUUUAUUAAUAAUAAAACCUUUACUAUCCACUUACCUCGGUGGAAUUUAUAAAACAAUAUACGAAAGCAAUAACAUUAUCAUAAUCAUGGAAUCAUAUAAACUGUAAAACAUAACACUUAUCACGCAUUUUGUAAUUCAAUCAUUAUACAACAUAUCUUUUCCUCAUUUACCAGCCUAGUAUCCGUGGGGGUCCAUAGGGGUCCCGCUACCCGUUAACCUUUAACAUUCGUCAUCAGAUUCCAGGGCCGUCCCCAUACUCCGUCCGGUAUGGGCGCCAAAACCAUAAACCUCAACGCCCCGUCCGGUAUGAGGGUGAAACGGGCCGUCCCCAUACCCCGUCCGGUAUGGGCGCCAAAACACAUAAGAUCUCCAUACCCCGUCCGAUAUGGGAGACCACAAUCCCGGUGGGGUUCCCUACGGACCCGGUCCGUCCACCAUCUCUCAGGAUAUCUAGUCAGGCUGAACACAUUAUACAAUUUCCAUUUACAUAAUCUUUCAUUCUCCUUUUCCCUCAGUCAGCAUUAUCAAUCACAUACAAACAAGCAAAACGAUAAUUUAUGUCAAACAGACAACAUACAGCAUCAAUAUCCCGGUCAUUCAAUCCAUAAUCAAUAAAACAGUAAAAUAUGCACAUGAAACUAUAAAAUGAAAACAUCGAACCUCAUGCUGCAUUUAAAACUGUAAAACAGACCAAAUAACAGUUAACCGACAAACACACUAUACUCGGGCUCCAUUAGCGACCUUAAGCAAUUUCACACAUUCGUUGAUUCAUGAAAUACCGUUUUAUCAUUUAUUGAACUUUAAAACCGUGAUAGAAAAUAAGGUGAAGGGUCCUUACUCGUUUCGGGGUCCGAACACGGGUUCACAGUGCGCUUGCAGGCUGUCCCUAAUUUUUCCUGAAUUUUCCUCGGGGAACUGAAACGCACUACUGGUACCUGCACGUGUUCCAAAAAAAAUCCUAAAUUAGGCCCAGGGCCCCUUUCGGCCCUAAUCGCAACUCCGGCACGGCGGCUCCGCCGUGCUCCGGCGACGGCGUCGCCGCUGGCGGCGGCGAUUCGCCUCGGGUUGGCUGUUUUCGGCCGAAUUCGGCCACACUCGAAUCGGUCCCUGCGAGAAAACAACCCUAGGGCCCUCGGGGGGCCAAAAAAAUCACGGAAAAACGGAGCUUACCGGCGGCGGCGCUCUCGGGUGCGGCGUCGCCGCUGGCGGCGGCGAUUCGCCUCGGGUUGGCUGUUUUCGGCCGUUUCCGGCCGAAUUCGGCC
rnacentral:lncRNA from 1 species